rnacentral:rRNA from 1 species
AUUGAAUGCUGGCGGCAGGCUUAACACAUGCAAGUCGAGCGGGGUGAUGGUGCUUGCACUAUCACUUAGCGGCGGACGGGUGAGUAAUGCUUAGGAAUCUGCCUAUUAGUGGGGGACGACAUCUCGAAAGGGAUGCUAAUACCGCAUACGUCCUACGGGAGAAAGCAGGGGAUCACUUGUGACCUUGCGCUAAUAGAUGAGCCUAAGUCGGAUUAGCUAGUUGGUGGGGUAAAGGCCUACCAAGGCGACGAUCUGUAGCGGGUCUGAGAGGAUGAUCCGCCACACUGGGACUGAGACACGGCCCAGACUCCUACGGGAGGCAGCAGUGGGGAAUCUUGGACAAUGGGGGGAACCCUGAUCCAGCCAUGCCGCGUGUGUGAAGAAGGCCUUAUGGUUGUAAAGCACUUUAAGCGAGGAGGAGGCUCUUUUGGUUAAUACCCAAGAUGAGUGGACGUUACUCGCAGAAUAAGCACCGGCUAACUCUGUGCCAGCAGCCGCAGUAA